UACGGGGGGAGCAAGGCGUUGUUCGGAUUUACUGGGCGUAAAGGGCGCGUAGGCGGCGCGGUAAGCGUGUGGUGAAAGCCCGGGGCUCAACCCCGGGUCGGCCAUGCGAACUGCUGCGCUCGAGCCCACUAGAGGCAGGCGGAAUUCCGGGUGUAGCGGUGGAAUGCGUAGAGAGUCCGGAAGAACACCGGUGGCGAAGGCGGCCUGCUGGGGUGGUGCUGACGCUGAGGCGGCGACAGCGUGGGGAGCAAACAGG
rnacentral:rRNA from 1 species